rnacentral:rRNA from 1 species
CCUACGGGAGGCAGCAGCAGGGAAUCUUGCGCAAUGGGCGAAAGCCUGACGCAGCGACACCGCGUGGGGGAUGAAGGCCUUCGGGUUGUAAACCCCUUUCAGGAGGGAUGAAAUUGACAGUACCUCCACAAGAAGGACCGGCCAACUACGUGCCAGCAGCCGCGGUAAUACGUAGGGUCCGAGCGUUAUCCGGAAUCAUUGGGCGUAAAGAGCUCGUAGGCGGUUCAGCAAGUCGGCUGUGAAAGUUCGAGGCUCAACCUCGAAAUUGCAGUCGAUACUGCUGUGACUCGAGUCCGGUAGAGGAGAAUGGAAUUCCCGGUGUAGCGGUGAAAUGCGCAGAUAUCGGGAGGAACACCAGUAGCGAAGGCGGUUCUCUGGGCCGGCACUGACGCUGAGGAGCGAAAGCGUGGGGAGCAAACAGGAUUAGAUACCCUGGUAGUCCACGCCGUAAACGUUGGAUACUAGGUGUGGCGUCCCGAUUAACGGUCGCCGUGCCGAAGCUAACGCAUUAAGUAUCCCGCCUGGGGAGUACGGCCGCAAGGCUAAAACUCAAAGGAAUGACGAAUCGUCGACUGCAGACCAAUCU